UAACUCUCAACAACGGAUAUCUCGGCUCUCGUAACGAUGAAGAACGCAGCGAAAUGCGAUACGUAGUGUGAAUUGCAGAAUUCCGUGAAUCAUCAAGUUUUUGAACGCAAAUUGCGCCCGAGACCUCGGUCAAGGGCAUGCCUGUCUGAGCGUCGCC
rnacentral:rRNA from 1 species